GACGAACGCUGGCGGCGUGCCUAACACAUGCAAGUCGAGCGGGGUCCAUCCAGUGGCAACACUGGGGAAGACCUAGCGGCGAACGGGUGAGUAACACGUGAGGAACUUGCCCCGGAGUACGGGAUAACUCGAGGAAACUCGAGCUAAUACCGUAUGCCCUCUUCUGGUCGCAUGGCCGGAUGAGGAAAGAUUCAUCGCUCCGGGAGAGCCUCGCGGCCUAUCAGCUAGUUGGUGGGGUAACGGCCCACCAAGGCAUCGACGGGUAGCUGGUCUGAGAGGACGAUCAGCCACACUGGGACUGAGACACGGCCCAGACUCCUACGGGAGGCAGCAGUGGGGAAUCUUGCGCAAUGGGCGAAAGCCUGACGCAGCAACGCCGCGUGCGGGAUGAAGGCCUUCGGGUUGUAAACCGCUUCAGCAGGGAAGAAACUGACGGUACCUGCAGAAGAAGACCCCGGCCAACUACGUAGCCAGCAGCCGCGGUAAU
rnacentral:rRNA from 1 species